UUUCCCAAAGCUUAUCCGUUUAGUAGCAACGAAAGUAACUGAGUAGAUUUCGGUUUUAUGAUCUUGUUUUGAAAUUAAUGGGUUAGACGGUAGAACAAAAAUGGACACGCUGAGCUAGCGGCUAACAGCUAGAGGAGACUGUUGUGUCUAAUAAUUUGAAACUUCCUUUGAUAGUUUGGGCGGAAUCCUGUUGCUGGAAACCCGUGGUUAUUCAUGUCCCAUGUUAUUGCAGAGGAUCUCCAACACCGUCUGGGUUUACAGCUGUGUCAUCCAGAAAACCACAGUUUGUGUCCCCAUCUGAGCUUUUAUUCUGCCCAUGGAGUGACUGAGCAGAUGGGCUGAGUGGUCCUCUCCAUUACAGAUGUGAUCCAGACCAGUUGGAGACAGAAUAUCAUACAAUUUAAAAAAAAGAAAAACAACACCAACAAAACAAACAAAAACAAAAUUCUAAACUUUUAAUAUUGAUUUAAUAAAAUGAAUAAACCUGUCAUUUUAAUGCA